UGGCUGUCGUCAGCUCGUGUCGUGAGAUGUUGGGUUAACGUCCCGCAACGAGCGCAACCCCUACGUUUAGUUGCUAACGCGUGAAGGCGAGCACUCUAGACGAACUGCCGUUGACAAACGGAGGAAGGUGGGGAUGACGUCAAAUCAUCAUGCCCCUUAUGUUCUGGGCUACACACGUGCUACAAUGGCCGGUACAGACGGACGCAAAGCCGCGAGGUGGAGCAAAUCCUAAAAAGCCGGUCUCAGUUCGGAUUGCAGGCUGCAAUUCGCCUGCAUGAAGUCGGAAUCGCUAGUAAUCGCAGGUCAGCAUACUGCGGUGAAUACGUUCCCGGGCCUU
rnacentral:rRNA from 1 species